rnacentral:rRNA from 1 species
AUGCCUUUUUGUUGGAAUCAUUUUGUACCACUUUUUUGCUACAACAGUUUUGGUUUUUUGCUACUACCGGCACUGUCGUUUGUUACAUCCUUUUUCAUGAGGUUGUCGAGACCCUGCGACUAUGUGUUUUUCUACAACCUUAUACACUUUUUGCUACAACCUUGUGCAUUUUUUGCUACCACUAAAGAAGCCCCAAGCUGGACCACAAGUUGUUUUUCUACAACUGUUUUGUGGUUUGUUGCAACCAGUGUCAAUUUUUGCUACCACCGACUUCUUGAUUUUUCUAGAACCAGUGCUCAAUUUUUCAUUUUUGCUACCACUAGUGUUUCGAUUUGCUGGAACAAGCUUGAUAUUUUUGCUACCAUCAGGUUUUUGGUUUGUUGGAACGGCGUCGAUUUUUUUUUCAAUUUUGCUACCAACGUUUUAUUGGUUUUUGCUGGAACCGUCGAGAAUUUUUUCUAUGACCAGUGGAAUUUUUUGCUGCGACCGACAAAUUAA